AGAACUUUUGAUUCCUGGCUCAGGAAUGAAACGCUAGCUACAGGCUUAACACAUGCAAGUCGAGGGGAAAACGAUAGAGAAAGCUUGCUUUUUCUAGGCGUCGACCGGCGCACGGGUGAGUAACGCGUAUCCAACCUGCCCAUCACUUGGGGAUAACCUUGCGAAAGUAAGACUAAUACCCAAUGACGUCUCUAGAAGACAUCUGAAGGAGAUUAAAGAUUUAUCGGUGAUGGAUGGGGAUGCGUCUGAUUAGCUUGUUGGCGGGGUAACGGCCCACCAAGGCGACGAUCAGUAGGGGUUCUGAGAGGAAGGUCCCCCACAUUGGAACUGAGACACGGUCCAAACUCCUACGGGAGGCAGCAGAGAGGAAUAUUGGUCAAUGGACGAGAGUCUGAACCAGCCAAGUAGCGUGCAGGAUGACGGCCCUAUGGGUUGUAAACUGCUUUUAUAAGGGAAUAAAGUGAGUCUCGUGAGACUUUUUGCAUGUACCUUAUGAAUAAGGACCGGCUAAUUCCGUGCCAGCAGCCGCGGUAAUACGGAAGGUCCGGGCGUUAUCCGGAUUUAUUGGGUUUAAAGGGAGCGUAGGCCGGAGAUUAAGCGUGUUGUGAAAUGUAGACGCUCAGCGUCUGCACUGCAGCGCGAACUGGUUUCCUUGAGUACGCACAAAGUGGGCGGAAUUCGUGGUGUAGCGGUGAAAUGCUUAGAUAUCACGAAGAACUCCGAUUGCGAAGGCAGCUCACUGGAGCGCAACUGACGCUGAAGCUCGAAAGUGCGGGUAUCGAACAGGAUUAGAUACCCUGGUAGUCCGCACGGUAAACGAUGGAUGCCCGCUGUUGGUCUGAAUAGGUCAGCGGCC
rnacentral:rRNA from 2 species